UGGGGGCCCCUCUCCAGGACCACCUGCACGUCCUUCACAGCUGGAGCAGGGGGGACAGGAGGGGGGAGGGAGGGUGGUG
rnacentral:miRNA from 10 species